UUUGAAAUACUGACCUGUAAAUUUCCCUUUGAUAAAAAGGACUGCAAAAGAAGUUGGGAACCCAGCUGAGGUACGAAGAAAGGGUGCCUUUUAUUCAUGUGGUUUAGGGAAGUAGGAGAGUCUAAUGAGCAAGAAUAGAGAAGUGCUUUCUUCCUAAUGAAUAGGUAACCCACAUGAAUGCCCUUGGUUUACCCAUUUGGCGAAACCUGAAAUAGAAAACACUGCCAAGUCAUGCCUCAAUGAAUAGCUUCGUUUGAGAAUUCUGAACAUGUCAAGGGGGCAGUGCUAAAUGAACAUGUUUUUAUUCAUCUUGGAAGCCUUGUAGGGUAAUUAGGGAAGUGGGGACACUCAGAUUGAGUAAGGAGUGGCAUUCAGGCUAUUUUAGGGACAGCCUGUGGUGGCAGCUGCUAAAAACCAAGAAUUUUCCAAAGGUUACAGGGGAUAGGAUAACACUCAGUAGGGCUUUUGAAGAUGAAAUCCACAGUUUAAGGCCCUCCUGACAUCCCUGGUUUGAUUUCAACUUCGAUUAUGCAUGAGAACUUAUUGAGAGAUUGUAAGUUGCAAGAAGCCCUUAAUCUCCUGGGGAAGGUCUUGGCAGAAACAUCACUUCCUCGGGGGGAAGCCUUACAACCUGCUAAACCAGUCUGGGACUUCUUAUUCCCACAAAGCCUAGAUAUUUUCUCCUUUGCAUCCUGAACCACAUCCUGCUUUUCCAGGGUCAGUUUUUGCCACGUGACUGAAGAGUACAUGAGGUUAAGUUCCAUGAGCCUGGAACACAACAGGUGUUCAAUCAGUGUUGAAUAAGUAUGAGAUGACAGUCAGGACAGGCGACAGGCGAAGUCAAUGGAUGCAGAGGACUGUCAAGCAUUGUAAAAUGCUCCUGGGAGGUGAAAUCAGACCAGCAGGAAAAAGAAAACUAAAAUUAUCUACGGGCUUUGUUGGUAAGGAAGCAUUUGUUAUGCCCAGCUUUAGAACAACAGCAAGUAAAAGAAGACUGCAUUCAUCUGAGAAAUCAAAGUGGAGGAAGUCAAGAAGGCAACUGGACACAGAUUUUUAAGAAUACACAGAUUAACAGCUAGAAAGAAUCAGGUGAAGGAGGCAGCAGAAAAAGGAAGAGGUUGAAAUAUACAAGAGAGAAACCAUUAAGAAGUAAAAAUGCAAGCCACAUAUGGGAAAAAAAAAUAUUUGUAGCCUACAUAAAUACUAAUAGAUUUAUAUCCAGAAUCCACAAAAAAACCCUAAUAUCAAUUAAUUUAAAAAAUCAAAUUGAAAAAUUGGUAAAGGACUUGAACAAGCAUCAUACAAGGAGGAAUUCAAAUGGCCAACAGGUAUGAGAAAGGUGCUUAAUCAUGCUGACAUUAGGGAAAGACUUCAAAACAACAAGGCACCACUGCCAUCCUACUGAAAAGGAGGGGAGAAGGACUAUGAAUGUAGAUGUAUCUGGAGGUCUGAGAGUGAGCAGUUAAGGUAGCUCAGGCUUGUCUUUUUUUAAGCAUGAGAGAAGCUGUCAGUGACAUACGUACUUAAGGUGAUCCAUUAAGAUUUGGAAUAAUCAUUCUGAGGAAUGUGAGUGCAUGAUCUUUGGAACAAGAAUAUAAUCCCUGUAAAAGUUU